CAGCAGCCGCGGGAAUACGAAGGGUGCAAGCGUUACCCGGAAUUACUGGGUGUAAAGCGUGCGUAGGUGGUGGUUUAAGUCCGUUGUGAAAGCCCUGGGCUCAACCUGGGAAUUGCAGUGGAUACUGGGUCACUAGAGUGUGGUAGAGGAUAGUGGAAUUUCCGGUGUAGCAGUGAAAUGCGUAGAGAUCGGAAGGAACAUCUGUGGCGAAGGCGACUAUCUGGGCCAACACUGACACUGAGGCACGAAAGCGUGGGGAGCAAACAGGAUUAGAUACCCCUGUAGUCCCUGUCUCUUAUAC
rnacentral:rRNA from 1 species